rnacentral:rRNA from 1 species
UUACGGCCAUAUCACGCUGAAAACACCGGUUCUCGUCCGAUCACCGUAGUUAAGCAACGUCGAACCUGGUCAGUACUUGGAUGGGUGACCGCUUGGGAAUACCAGGUGCUGUAAG